rnacentral:misc_RNA from 1 species
CUAAAAGCUCUCAGCGGUCUCUCUCUCGCCUAUCAAACGGAUAUGGCCACACUAUCAUCCCUCUCUAUUUCCACACCCAAUUCUCUCAGAGUUCCCUCUCAUUUUCUUCCCCUUCCCCUUCCAAGCCUUCAUUUCCAAUCCCAUGGAUUUCCCAAUUCUUUCAGGCACUUGACAUUGAAGAAAACCGCCAAGAGUAAGAUUUCUUUUUCACAUGUUACGAAAUUAAGGUCAGUUGAAGAGGAAACUCAAAUACCAGAAGAAGAACAACCGCAACCUCAAGAACAAGAGCAAGAACCAGUACAAGAAGGACCUGAACAGCAAACUGUGUCUGUCCCUGUCUCUCCUUCUGACACUCUUACCAUGUUCUUUCAGGCAGAGGGAACAAUGAAUGAAACUGCUAUUCCUACAGUGACUAAUGCCUUGGAGGUAUGGAAAUUUCUAUCACCUUUUACUUCUUUUGUUUGAGUCAGAGCAAUAAUGAGUUUCGGGAUCGUAAGGAUGGGGGAUGCUGGGGAUUUUUACCAUGUGAAUUCUCAUUUUGAUUAAUGCCUUCCUCUGAUAGAAUAUGGUCUCUAUGAUGAGGACAAUAUUACCAUGAGAGUAGAGGGAAAUCAGCAAAAUCUUUGUCUCAUAUGAUAUUAUGGCAUGCAAUCGAUUUUCAUUGCAAUGAGAUUAUGUUAAAGGGUUGAUUGGAGGAGGGGAAGGAAGAUUAAUUAGAUGACUUCAAGCUGACUGGAACUGCUUUCUAGGUUUGAAUUGGAAGCUUGCACAUCCUACAUUAAAUAUUAAAUCAUAACUGAAUAGAGUUAUAUUUGACUCUAAAGCUUGUAUAAUAUAGACAAAAAUGUUUAAGAUGUGUAAUGAAGUAGGCUACCUAUUUCAUCUUGUUGGAAGAAGAUCCUAACAAUUGACUAAAUGAGUGUCGUUGACUAAAUGAGUGUGGUUAAAGGCUUUUGUGUUGGAUACAUUUCUGCAAACUGGAAAAUGUCAAAAGAUCAAAGGACGAAAGAUGAAUGGUAGGUAACUAUUGGAAAUAAAAUAAUUGAUAUCAUCUUUGCCUAAAUUUUUCGUAACUGUUGAUAGAUAAUCUUUUUCUUGACAUUGUACAUGGGGACAUUUAGGGCUAGCAUUUUUUGUAAGUGUUGAAUUCCAAAGGAUAAGGAAAUGCCCAAGUAUAUGUGAAAGAUAACAUCAAUGCUCAGUUUGAGGCUGGAAUUUUCUCAAGAAGUGCCAUAUAGGCUUUUCUAAUGAAUGAUAUAGAAUGUCUAUUUUCUCAAAGAAGUGGAUGCUAGCUAUAUAAAAUUGGAGUUGUGGCCAUGUUUGCUCUUUUGUUAUGACUUGGUCUUCAAUGGUUGGUCUUGGUGUCAAGUAGAGAUGUGCAAACUCUUAGGUUGAAGGCUUAUUUAUUGUCUAGCUUAGGGAUUAAUUGUUUUGCUUUAACUUUUUAAGUUUUGACUUUUGCAGUUGAUGUUGAUUUAUUUCUCAUGUAGGAGAUUGAUGAUAUUACAAAUUUGAAAGUUCAAGUCCUAGAGGGUAUUGCAAGUGUUGAGUUAACAAAACAAACAACUGUACAAGCUACAGGAGUGGCUUCUAGUUUGGUUGAGCUCAUACAGGGUUCAGGUUUCAAGUUACAGACUUUGAAUUUGAGUUUUGUGGAUGAGGAGGAUGCCUUUGUAUAGAUCAUGCAAUUUUUAUAAGCAGGAAAAAGAUAAAUUUUUGUACCUUCUACAAUCUAUUUUCUCAAAAUUCCUUGUAUUCUAGAUGUGUAUGCUUGGAAGUAAACUGUAUACCAUUACUCAACAUUUCAUCUUCUAGGCUGUGCUUGAAUUAACUUUGAUUGAUGUCAUUCUGUUUAAAACUGUUUUCCAAUUUCCUGGAAAUUUCAA